AGAAAAACAACAUGGAUCAGAUUUAUAGGAUCUCAUCAACUUUUGUGAACCAGAAUAUAUAUAUAUAUACAUUACAUAGAUGCGACUUCCAAGUUGCGACCGAAAUGAAAUGAAAUGCCCAUCAAUAUCAUGAUAAUUAAUAAUGGAAGAGGCGCAUUCGGUGGAUUCGGGAAGGCAGAAACGGGAAAAGAAGCAACGCAGGCAGUGCAGUUGGAAGAAUGACAAGCCCACAAAACCGACGGAUGUUUGGGAAGAAUCAUCGUCCGGAAACAAUCCGAAAGCCUUUUGGAGGAGUUAUUGUUAUGCUGCGGAGCCAUGGCCCGCGAGACCAACGGGAUGGGGAAAAGAAUUCGAAGAAGAAGACUCCCAGCCGCCGCCGCCGGCCGGUUCAAACGCACGUGGUCAAAUAAAUACUCUCUUUUAAUCCCCGCCGUUUUCAGUCAAUAACCCCCGGUCGUUAUCUAGAAUGUUCUUGUCGCGUUACUUUUACAGCGGUUGGAAUUUUAACUAAGAAACAGAUUACUCACGUACCUUUUGAGAUUAUAGUAUUUAUUAUUUAAUGAUUAAUAAAUCUCAUCUGAAAAUGUCUACCAAAUAAUAUUUAGAUCUUGGGAAGAAAUUAAACAAAACAUUUUAAUGUUGGACUCCUCUAAAUAAAAUUAAACAUAAAAAUAUUCAUUCUCGUUAUCAAGUGAAAUUUAAAUCUUCAUCCCCAGCAUAUUCCAGUUUUGUUCAUUUGUUUUCGGUGAAGUUUAAGAGAGAUGAAAUGGAAAAAACUGGAUGUGGAUUUUGAAUCUGG
rnacentral:lncRNA from 1 species